rnacentral:snoRNA from 1 species
CAUGCACACUAUUUAAAGCUUGGAGUCGAGGCUGUUAUCGGCCGAUGAACUCUCGAGUGUCGGAAGUGUGCUACAGUAAACGAAGGCAAGAUUUUCGCUAACACCGUCAGAGUUUAUUGCUCAAUGAUCGGGGUUUGAUAGUGGUCUUUGCCACAAUU